UCUUCCUUGGUCUAGUGGUCAUGAUUUCCGCUUGUCAACAGAUGAUCUGAUAGCAAGCGCGGGAGACCGGGGUUCGAUUCCCCGAGGGAGAG